AUCUCCAGCUGUGAUCUGUAUGUCACAGCAGCCCUAGGCAGCCUACAGCAAGCUUAUGCUUGGGCUUGAAAACUGAACAUGUUUCCACUUUUUCCAGACAAGGGGGGAAGAAAUCCAGGACAGGACAUGUCUGCUGAAGAUCAGCAGCAACGACUUUAGUCAUCAUGGCUGUAAUGCCAAAUCCCAUCCCAUACCAUCAGGGUUUACCUCAUGAGCAAAGGAGAUUAAGUUUCCGAAUUCAUGGUUCCCCCUUUGACAUAUAGAAUGCCUGAUUAUGAUUUCAGCAAGAUUCUGA